rnacentral:tRNA from 1 species
UCUAAUUUGGCAGAUAAGUGCGGUGGAUUUAAGCUCCACAUAUGAAGUUAAUAACAUCUUUUAGAA